CAGAGACUGCAAGCGUUAUUCGGAUUCACUGGGCGUAAAGGGUGCGCAGGCGGCCAAGUGUGUGAGGCGUGAAAGCCCGAUGCUUAACAUCGGAAUUGCACCUCAAACUACAAGGCUAGAGCAUUGGAGAGGGUAGCGGAAUUCACGGUGUAGCAGUGAAAUGCGUAGAUAUCGUGAGGAACACCAGAGGCGAAGGCGGCUACCUGGACAAUUGCUGACGCUCAGGCACGAAAGCGUGGGGAGCAAAAGGGAUUAGAUACCCCUGUAGUCCACGCCCUAAACGGUGCACACUAGGUCUUGAUGGAUUCGACCCCAUCAGGGCCCAAGCUAACGCGUUAAGUGUGCCGCCUGAGGACUACGGCCGCAAGGCUA
rnacentral:rRNA from 1 species